ACAAUGGAGAGUUUGAUCCUGGCUCAGGAUGAACGCUAGCGGGAGGCUUAAUACAUGCAAGUCGGACGGCAACAUGAUAAUAGCAAUAUUAUUGAUGGCGAGUGGCGCACGGGUGAGUAACACGUACAUAACUUGCCCUUUACUGGGGGAUAGCCUUGGGAAACUGGGAGUAACCCCCCAUAGUGUAUACGAGACGCAUGUCUUGUAUAAUAAAUUCUUCGGGAGGUAAAGGAUAGAUGUGCGGCUGAUUAGUUAGUUGGAGAGGUAACGGCUCACCAAGACAAUGAUCAGUAGGGGGUGUGAGAGCAUGAUCCCCCACACGGGUACUGAGACACGGACCCGACUCCUACGGGAGGCAGCAGUAAGGAAUAUUGGACAAUGG
rnacentral:rRNA from 1 species